rnacentral:rRNA from 1 species
GAUGAACGCUGGCGGCGUGCCUAACACAUGCAAGUCGAACGAAGCGUCUUAAAGGAAGUUUUCGGAUGGAAUUUGGGAUGACUGAGUGGCGACGGGUGAGUAACGCGUGGAUAACCUGCCUCAUACAGGGGGAUAACAGCUAGAAAUGGCUGCUAAUACCGCAUAAGCCCACGACCCGGCAUCGGGUUGAGGGAAAAGGAGCAAUCCGCUUUGAGAUGGCCUCGCGUCCGAUUAGCUGGUUGGUGAGGUAACGGCCCACCAAGGCAACGAUCGGUAGCCGGACUGAGAGGUUGAACGGCCACAUUGGGACUGAGACACGGCCCAG